AUUGAACGCUGGCGGCAGGCCUAACACAUGCAAGUCGAGCGGUAGCACAGAGAGCUUGCUCUCGGGUGACGAGCGGCGGACGGGUGAGUAAUGUCUGGGAAACUGCCUGAUGGAGGGGGAUAACUACUGGAAACGGUAGCUAAUACCGCAUAACGUCGCAAGACCAAAGAGGGGGACCUUCUGGCCUCUUGCCAUCAGAUGUGCCCAGAUGGGAUUAGCUAGUAGGUGGGGUAACGGCUCACCUAGGCGAGGAUCCCUAGCUGGUCUGAGAGGGUGACCAGCCACACGGGAACUGAGACACGGCCCAGACGCCUACGGGAGGCAGCAGUGGGGAAUAUUGCACAAUGGGCGCAAGCCUGAUGCAGCCAUGCCGCGUGUAUGAAGAAGGCCUUCGGGUUGUAAAGUACUUUCAGCGAGGAGGAAGGUGUUGAGGUUAAUAACCUCAGCAAUUGACGUUACUCGCAGAAGAAGCACCGGCUAACUCCGUGCCAGCCGCCGCAGUAAAAC
rnacentral:rRNA from 1 species